rnacentral:rRNA from 1 species
GACGAACGCUGGCGGCGUGCCUAAUACAUGCAAGUAGGACGCAGUUGCGAACGGGUGAGUAACGCGUAGGAAACUGCCUAUUAGAGGGGGAUAACUAUUGGAAACGAUAGCUAAUACCACAUACUAGUAGAUGGACCUGCGUUGUAUUAGCUAGUAGGUAGGGUAAUGGCCUACCUAGGCGAAGAUACAUAGCCGACACGAGAGGGUGAACGGGCAACCUGGGACUGAGACACGGCCCAGACUCCGCCGGGAGGCAGCAGUAGGGAAUCUUCGGCAAUGGGGGGAACCCUGACCGAGCAACUCAGCGUGAGUGAAGAAGGUUUUCGGAUCGUAAAGCUCUGUUGUUAAGGAAGCGGUACUUAACCAGAAAGGGACGGCUAACUACGUGCCAGCCGCCGCGGUAAUUC